UGUGCCAAGCAGCCGCGGUAAUUCCAGCUCCAAUAGCGUAUAUUAAAGUUGUUGCGGUUAAAAAGCUCGUAGUUGGAUCUCGGCGGGCAGGGGGUGGUUCGCUCUUCAGCGCUACUGCCCCGCUUUGCCCGUGUGAUUGGCGGAGGUUUCGGGGUGCUCUUCGUUGAGUGACUCGGAGCGCCGUCAGGUUUACUUUGAAAAAAUUAGAGUGCUCAAAGCAGGCUUUUCACGCUUGAAUAUUCGUGCAUGGAAUAAUGGAAUAGGAACUCGUUUCUAUUUUGUUGGUUUUCGGAAAUCGAGUUAAUGAUUAACAGGGACAAUUGGGGGCAUUAGUAUUCAGACGACAGAGGUGAAAUUCUUGGACCGUCUGAAGACUGACUACUGCGAAAGCAUUUGCCAAGAGUGUUUUCAUUAAUCAAGAACGAAAGUUAGAGGUUCGAAGGCGAUCAGAUACCGCCCUAGUUCUAACCAUAAACGAUGCCAGCUAGCGAUCUGCCGAGUUUUUUUUGUAGGCUCCGCAGGAAGCUUUCGGGAAACCAAAGCUUUUGGGUUCCGGGGGAAGUAUGGUUGCAAAGCUGAAACUUAAAGGAAUUGACGGAAGGGCACCACCAGGAGUGGAGCCUGCGGCUUAAUUUGACUCAACACGGGAAAUCUCACCAGGCCCGGACACUGGAAGGAUUGACAGAUUGAGAGCUCUUUCUCGAUUCGGUGGGUGGUGGUGCAUGGCCGUUCUUAGUUGGUGGAGUGAUUUGUCUGGUUAAUUCCGAUAACGAACGAGACUCUGUCCUGCUAAAUAGUUGGGUCGUCCUUCGUGCGAUCCAAGUUCUUCUUAGAGGGACUGGCUGCGUCUAGCAGCACGAGAUUGAGCAAUAACAGGUCUGUG
rnacentral:rRNA from 1 species